rfam:Stegodyphus mimosarum contig30684, whole genome shotgun sequence.
CCCGCUGAAUUUAACCAUAUAAAUAAGUGGAGGAAAAGAAACCAACAGAGAUUCCCUUAGUAGCAGCGAGCGAACCAGGAUGAGCCCAGUGCCGAAUUCUGCACUCUUUGGGUGUUGGAAAAUGGGGCAUAUAGGAGUGAGCAUUUUGGAGUUUGACUCUGCAGGAAGUCUCCUUGACCGCGGCUGUUACCCAGAGCUGGUGCGAGGCCCAUAGCUGCUAGGUCUGUUUUGGAUGCGAUCUCUUGGGAGUUGGUUGAAUUCUAAAACAAGCAUGGCUUUUAAUCCUCCCUGUAAACAUCAUAUUUCCUACAGUUUACUUUCACCACAGUG